rnacentral:rRNA from 1 species
UACGGGGGGGGCAAGCGUUGUUCGGAAUUACUGGGCGUAAAGGGCUCGUAGGCGGCCAACUAAGUCAGACGUGAAAUCCCUCGGCUUAACCGGGGAACUGCGUCUGAUACUGGAUGGCUUGAGUUUGGGAGAGGGAUGCGGAAUUCCAGGUGUAGCGGUGAAAUGCGUAGAUAUCUGGAGGAACACCGGUGGCGAAAGCGGCAUCCUGGACCAACACUGACGCUGAGUGAGCGAAAGCCAGGGGAGCAAACGGG